GACGAACGCUGGCGGCGUGCCUAAUACAUGCAAGUCGAACGCUUCUUUCCUCCCGAGUGCUUGCACUCAAUUGGAAAGAGGAGUGGCGGACGGGUGAGUAACACGUGGGUAACCUACCCAUCAGAGGGGGAUAACACUUGGAAACAGGUGCUAAUACCGCAUAACAGUUUAUGCCGCAUGGCAUAAGAGUGAAAGGCGCUUUCGGGUGUCGCUGAUGGAUGGACCCGCGGUGCAUUAGCUAGUUGGUGAGGUAACGGCUCACCAAGGCCACGAUGCAUAGCCGACCUGAGAGGGUGAUCGGCCACACUGGGACUGAGACACGGCCCAGACUCCUACGGGAGGCAGCAGUAGGGAAUCUUCGGCAAUGGACGAAAGUCUGACCGAGCAACGCCGCGUGAGUGAAGAAGGUUUUCGGAUCGUAAAACUCUGUUGUUAGAGAAGAACAAGGACGUUAGUAACUGAACGUCCCCUGACGGUAUCUAACCAGAAAGCCACGGCUAACUACAUG
rnacentral:rRNA from 1 species